rnacentral:rRNA from 1 species
GAACCUGCGGAGAGUAAGUAUAAGCAAUCAUACAGCGAAACUGCGAAUGGCUCAUUAUAUAAGUUAUCGUUUACUUGAUAGUGCCUUACUACUUGGAUAACCGUGGUAAUUCUAGAGCUAAUACAUGCUGAAAAGCCCCAACUUCGGAAGGGGUGUAUUUAUUAGAUACAAAACCAAUGCCCUUCGGGGCUCUUUGGUGAUUCAUGAUAACUAAACGAAUCGCACGGCCUUGCGCCGGCGAUGGUUCAAUCAAGUUUCUUCCCUAUCAACUUUCGAUGGUUCGGUAUUGGCCAACCAUGGUUGCAACGGGUAACGGAGGGUUAGGGCUCGACCCCGGAGAAGGAGCCUGAGAAACGGCUACUA